AUUUAUAUGAUGUAUGUGAGUAGUAACAGUUUGGCAGGAUGUUGAUGAUGAUGUUGAGAUGAUCUUGAGGAUGAUCAUUCAGUUUGUGAUGUGGUCACGAGGUGACCGUGUGGAUAUCUUGAUCACGAAGUGAUCAUAUGGACCACGAGGUGGUUGAGAUGGUAUAUUGCUUGGCCGGUUAGCCAAGAAUGAGAUUGUUGUUGGGAAUGAGAUGUUGGUUUAUCAGUAUUGUAGUAGUUUCAUAUCGUGCUUAGUAGUUGCUGUCGUAUCAUGGUAGAUGUUAAUUUAAUUAACCUGCUUAAUGCUAUGUUGUUGUCUUGCCUUGAUGCUUUUGGUUGUUGUGAGCUUGCAAGUACAUUCAAUGUACUGAUCUGGCGUGUCAUGCCAGAUUGCAGGUGAUGUCGUGAUUGCUUUAUUGCUUGUCGUGGUUUCCGUUCGUGCGAGCUAGAUCGUAUCCCUGUCAAAGUCCCUGCGGAGUGGAGUUCACCACCUUCAUCGUUGUUUCGCUGCUAGAAGAUUUCCGCUGCUUCGAGUUGUUCCGCUGCUAGCAUCGAGCAAGUGUAGUAUCGCAGGCGUAGUGUCGUCGUGCUGAUGUGGACCUUUUAACAUCAGACCUUUGUAUUUAUUCUUGUAAUAAGAGCUGAUUUGUUCUAUGUCAAGCAGUGUCGUAUUCCAGAGACUUCUCCUCGAUCUCUGGGUGGAAUACGGGGCGUUCUGGUUUCUUUGAUCCGGGGUGCCACAGGCUUGGUAUCAGAGCAGGUCUGGCUGUAAGACGCCCUAGUCAGGGCGAGCGGUAGAAACCGGUAGAAAUCUGUAAUUUAAAGUCUGGCUUGUAUAUUGCAUUUGUUUGUUGCAUAGCAUGCAUAUAGCCUUAUUAUUUGUUACUAACGGUUUAUCUAGUGAGUGUAGCUGGCAUCGGUUCGGAUCCACUACAGCUCAGCCUCUGCAUUUCUCCAGUUCCUUUUUCUUUCGGUGUUUGGUGUCAUUUCUGUCCCAGCAGAGUGAUGCCAAGUGAUCCCGACACUGUUUGCAGAAAUGGUGCUCAGGUAACGCGCCGAUGUCUUUCUUUCAGUCUCGCCUAUCGUUUCGGUGAUAGACAUGCUUCUAUCCCGGAUCAUUCUUUUAUUUUUUUCGUGUUGGCAACCAUUAAUGAUCUUAGCUAUCAAAAAAGGGCAAAGUCAACAGCCUCCGUUUUUCCUCGCUAUCCUUAUUUUUUGGACGAGUACAGAUCUUUUUCCGUCCGCUUGAUAAUAAUGUGGUUGCGACCUUCGUGUCCCACUACAUGGUUACCAAGUGCGUCCUCGCCUCCGAGCUAGUCCAGGUUGCUACCUGGCUAAGCUAGCACUUGGUGUAGCGCAGUUUACACCAAUUUUUCCACACAUUUAUUCGUCCUCGUGCACAUCGUCACAGCAUGCUAGAUCGUAGAACCGGAGAUUCCGCGAAAAUUGUGUGCUUAAGUAGACAUGCAUAUUGUGUGACUAGCAGUAAUAUGUGACAUUGAUUGUGUGUGAAUUGAUUGUUGUUGUGUGCUCUUGUUAGUUGAGUUUUCUUUUGCUUCUUUCUUUUUGGGCCCCGGUGUUACAUUAUUUUCCCCUAUAAAGAGUUGCUCAUCAACUGACACCAGACUCGAAGAAGCAAUAAGGAUUUCAAAUAAUUGGAAGAAGCUCAGCUGAACAUUAUGGUCCACCCAGUCAACUGCAUUAUGGCAUUAAUAUCUGCUCAGAAUACCAAUAGUGUCUUGGAUUGAUUAUCAGCAUCAAGUCCCCAUCAGUACCAAAUCCUCACAACAGUAAUGAUCAAGUCAGCAGCAAGACAAGUCAGGUACAAGCCCAACGGUAUAUUUUCAGGCAGAGGUAUGGAUCAUAUACAAAGUUUUGGCUCAACAAUGCAUGAUGCUUGAAAUAUCUUAUCAUCCGAAAUAAAGCCAGAAUGUGACAUGCUCGAGGAAGACAGUCAAACCAUUUUUCUCAUGCAAAUAAUCAGCCUCAGAAUAUUAUGGGCGUGUGUAUGGAUUUCAGUCUGCAUAUCAGUAUGAAGUUUUGGAUAUAAGAAACCCAGUAUUAUUCCACACGCUAUCGGAAGAAAUUUAUGAGGCAAGUCUCCUCAAUUUUUCCUCAGCAUGAUAUGUGAACAAUUUCCGGCCCAUGAUACCUGGUUUUUCUCAACAAGAUACCUCGGUAAAAUCUUCUGAUAGACGGAAAUGAAUUUUUCUCAACAAGCAAAACCGAGGAGAAACUUCUCAAGUACGGGACUCAGGCUUCUCCAGCACAAUAAUCAGACCAAGCUUCGUGUGUAAGCUAUAGAGCCUUUUUCUGCACGAUACCCAGACGAAAGAUUUGAGCAGAAGUUAACAAGUCCUCCUCAGCAAGCUACUCGGAUGACUUCUCUCGUAAGCCAUUCAGUCUGCGUCAGUAUCAUACUAUUACACCGUCCUCAGAGAUUAUAUGAUGAGUUGCCAAUAUAUGGCAGUUUCGCUCAAGAAUCAGACUCGUAACAUUUUUGUCGGAAGCACAAAUCAGUCAAAGCAUAGGUCUUCUUCAGAAAUCAAGUGUCUGAAUACGUAUCUUUCCGCAUAUAUGGUGAACAUGUAUCCCCAGUCAUAUUAGUCACUCAUAUGAGAUGCGGCAAGGAUCCAGCAGAUAUACCUAAGGAAAGUAAGGAUUCAACAACAUCACGAGUCAAGUAAAGGAAAAUAAGCAUAGAUACAUCUCAUGAAUUACAAGGAUUGACAAGAUCUAGGGAUGACAUCACAGAAUCCACAGUCUUGACAAUGGUCAUCAAGGUCAUUAUUCCCACACCAAACAAGGUGAUAUCAUGAAACCUUGUCACCUUCUUGUAUGAUUGGCCUCAGCAAUGAGUUCCGUACAGCUACAAACCCCGAGUAUAUGUCAUAUAUGUGCGGACACAGGUUAGAAAAACAAGCACAAGGAAUAAUGUCAAAAAUAUUAAUCACAUCCAUGGUCAUACGAAGAAUCAAGGACAGGCGUGGCCAAGUUAUUUCAGCAAGCUAUCCUGACAAAGAAAAUCAUGAUCGUUAAAAGGUGAGACCGACAACAAAGGUAUGAUGAUUUUGCACGACCAUCAGGGUCCGGAUACCCCAAGUCAGUUGGAGGCCAUAAUUCCAUAUGGAUCCACAAAAACAUACAACUUCAGCGGCCUACUCUAUUUACAAGGAUUUUCAUAUCCCGCUGACCCGCUUGACAUGGUUAGUGUGGAAUAUCCAAGUCUGUUCUGUCAGAUCCAAGAUUCCUUUGCAACCUCAACAGUUUGACCUCAGCGGCAGUGUUAAAACAUAUCACAGCGUAUUACCAAAGAUGGGUAUACCGACAAAAUGAGAAAGUCAAAAGCCGAAUAAUCAGCUCAGACCCGGUAUACUCGCCGACGGAAUCAAGUACACGGUCAGUCUAUCAGGAAAGGCAUUGUCCGUCAGCCCCCUGUCGGGCAAAGUCUCAAGAUGUAAAUAUUUGAGGUAUGACAUAGCUAUAACUCCAUACACCGUUAUAUUGCUCACGACAGAAGGCAGUCAAAUCUCUGGUAUAUGCCACAUGCUCGAGCCAAAGGAAAUAAAUCAAGAUAAAUCAGUGCCACCUAUGAGCAGUCAGAUCCCGUCAGAAGAUGGCCAUGAUUAAUUCUAAGCAUUUAUUGAACCCAGAAGGCUUGCAUUUAUUUGAAGCAACCCCAUGACAUAAGUAAAAAGGUUUUCAUGACCAAAGGAAAAUUUAUGCUCAGAUCCAUUGGAUAUCACCGCAGAUAUGAGAAAAUUCACGUCAGCAAAAGGAAGUGGUAUAUGAGAAAAAACCCGUCAUAAUUUGGGGAAAGGUGAAGCAAGCCACCCCAGAGCAAGGUAAGUUGAUCAUCUGAAAUUCUUGGGGGAACAAUAAAUAAAGGAAAAAAGGAUACCCGAGUUGGAAAAGGUAUCCUCAAGGCAUACUUGUUCCCAGAGCAACUAAAUCUCGAGGACGAGAUUUCCUUAAGGGGGUAAGAGUUGUAACAGCCUGGAUUUUGGCCCUUUUCUUUUUCUUUUGAUUUAUUUGGUUUUUGCUCUGUUUUUUUUUUGAAGUGGUUCUGUGGCCUUGCCACCUGGGAAAUCAUCCUCAUUCCCCCUCCCAAGUGGCUCAGCAUUCUCAAAACCUUGCCAAGAUCAUGUCACUUCACUCCUUGAACAAACCCUAAAAUCUUUUCUAGGGAAUAUUCCUUUUUCUAAUAAAGGAAUAACCCUAUCUACCCUAGGUUGUGAAGCAACCCACAUUUCUGUCCGUCCAAAAAUUCCCAAUUAAUUCUCAAAAUUCCUUUGGGUCAUAUGUUCAUCAAAUAUGCCCAAACUUUCCUGUCCUAGCCCAACAAUAAUUCCCCAAUAAUUAUUCUUCAUUUCUGUCCUGAAUGGAACUUUGUGAAGUAAGUGUCAUUUAUAUUUUCCUAGUGGCUCCCAAGAUUUUUGGGCAUUCUUGUAUGUCCAAAUAAUUGCCUCAUGCACAAGUUCAACUUUGUGAAUUUUCAAAGUUUCUGUCAGACAGAAGGCUUUGUGAAGGAAGUACUAUCUAGGAGUAUCCAAAUGAGUUAAACUUUUGCACACUCCUUAAUGUGCUCAUAUUAACCCCCUCCAUUCUUGUAUGUCCACCCAUUUUCAGCCUCAUCCAAUCAUCUAUGUGAGCACAGGAGCAAAUAUUUGAUUCUGGCAAUAUUUUCAGGUUGUGAAGCAAGUGUAUUUUAUAUUGCUUAAAAAAUCCUGUUAAAUUACCAGAUCAUUCUUCUACCCAUAAAACAUCUCUCCACCAAAUUUGGCAUCAUUUCAUGGAUCCAUUUGAUCACCAAAAUUAUUUCAAGUUUCUGGACAGAAAUGAUGCUUGUGAAGCAAGUGCAAUUUUGGCGUGUCCAUUUGGCAUGAGCUUUUUACAGCAUCUUUAUAUGUCCAUAUCAUGAGGAUUUGCCAAGUUGCAUCCCAUUCCAUAACACCAUGUGAGUGCAUCAUCCAAAUCUUGAUUCUGGACCAAUUUUGGGGUUACAUAGCAACUAUAUUAGUUUGUGCUCCAUUAUGCUCCAAAACCUCCAGGAUCAUAAUCCUUCCGUAGUUAAUCAUCCCAGACAACACCAUUUGACCCAAUCAGUUUCCUGUUGAUCAGCAGUGUUCUGCCAAGUUUGAUGCAGUAAACUUCAGAGCUUAGUUACCAUUUAACCAUAGCACCAUAGAUGAAGCCAUGGCAUCAUAAAUGAUCCACCCUGGAAGGACUAGCUCCCAGACAUAGUUUGCCAUCCUCUACAGCCCUCCCCGUGCCACGUCGUGUGGUGACUGCGCAGAUGGCAUGCACAUUUACGCGCUCUGUGCGCUGUGGCGUGUCCAGAGCACCGUUUGUGCUUUGUCACCGCUCCCUCUCGUCGUCUUAGAGCUCGUGAGCCUGUCCAGUGGCUGCAUCUCGUCGUCGUUGUUCCCCUGGACCCCUCUCCCCCUCCGUCAGCUUCCUCACCGACGCACACCGCCACGUGCCCACGGACGUACAGUGGUGUUUUGGCUCGAUUCGUCGCCGUCGUCUUCCUCCCUGUGCUCCCUUGGCCGCCUCUUCCCCGUGAGAUCUUCCUCCUGUUCCCUCUCGUCGCCUAACACCGAGCUCAUGCAUGUGCACACGCGUCCGCGGUGCCGGAAACGUAUCCACGGCGAUGCCAGCUCGGCCUCCUCGCCUCGCACCUAUUUAAGGCCUCCCCCGAGCCCUCCGAGCGCUCCAAGCUCUUCCUCACCCUCCCAGCAACCUCCCCGACCCAUCCGUUCGACUCCAGAGCCCUCAUCGCCUCGGUUGGCCUCCGCGGCCACGCUCCCCGAUUGGCUCAAGCCGGAGCCCCUCUCCUCAUUCCUCCUCCACCCGUAGCCCAACCAGACCCCGGCGAACCUCUCCCAUCCCUCUUUUCCUCGCCGGAGCCGUUGUGGCCACGCGCCCAAGUUUCGGCCGUCGCCCUCGUUCUCAGUCGCCGCAAGCCGCCGUCGUUCCGCUCCGUCCUGGCGCUGCUGCGGGGUGCAGACGGGUGCGGGACGUCUCGCCACACUCGCUGGUGCCCUCACUCCGGCGGGAGGUGGCCGGAGAUGGCUGGGCCGGCGCCGGCCUCGCUGCUGCCUCCUCUGCUCUGCGGGCGUGCGUCGGGCGAGAGGAAGGAGAUGAGGCCGCUCCCUGCCAGCUGGCCAUGGACCCCGCGGUCCCACCUGGCAGUGGCUCAAGCCGCGGCCCCGCCCCUGGUGACUGGAUUAAGUGGAAGCGUAAACCCGUGAGUGCGUUUUCGCUAUCAGAAAGCGUCUUUUCGUUCUCCUUCAGCCAGAGUACGCUUCCCUGAUCUGAAAACGUAUUCCGUGUCUGUGUCAGCAAGGUAUGCAUUUUCCCUGAAGCGAAGGCGUAUUCUUUAAAGUACGCUUUCUGUUUUUCUGUCCAGGCCCAAUUUGUUAAGAUUUUUCUUACAGAUAGGUCCCUGGCAGAAAAACAAGUGUAUCUUUUCAACCGUAGCUCCAAAUCAGGUGAUUCCAAAGCCCACAUAUUCGUUUCAUCGAGCCCGUUCUGAUGGAACCAUUUUCACCAUGUGUUUGACAUUCUGAAAACGACCAUUUUGCCCCUGCCCUUAUUCAUCCCCCUUCGAGAGAGUACGUUUUCCGGCGAUCCUUUCCGCGAGUUUCUCGCAGUUUCUGCCGGUGAUUUCUUCCACCCCAGGCAAGCCACACCCUCCAUUUGCAUUACUAUAAUGCAGUGACAUGGUUUAAUCUAUUUGAACUUGUUUAAAAUAUUGCUUUAGCUACAUGACUUUGUGCAUGGCAUUUUCUCAGAGUAUUAUUUUGAUCUUGUUGUUGCCAUGCUAUUGUUUGGAUUACUAGGAGUUAUGUUUGUAGUUGAUGAGUAUCAUGUUGCCAUUGGAGUAUUAGUGGUUGAUAUUAUGAUUGUUUUCAUGAUGAUAUCUGUUAUUAUAUUUUUGGAGUAUUACUUUGGAUGUCAUGCUGCCUUUGGAUUAUUAGUGGUUAGUAUGAUUAUUUUCAUGAUGCUAGUCGAUGUUAUGUUACUGUUGCUUGGAGUAUUAAUUUCGGAGAUGAUGUUUACGUGUGGAUCUUAGCUGGAUAGCUUUGUUCUUGUUAUUGGAGUAGUAGACUUAUUGUUUUCAGAUUCAUCAUGAUAGAAAUGUUAUGCUGUCCUUGGAGUAUUUUGAUAUGAUGAUAUUAUGCUCAGAUUAUUUGUUGGAUAUUGCUAUGACUUGGAUUAUAGUUUGAUAGUUGAUAUCGGAGUAUCAGUUAUCACAGUUAUAUUUUUGGGGAUAAAUUCCAUCAUUAAGUUGGUCAGGUGCCACCGAACCGGGCUUUCUCAAGUGCAACCACAUUUGCCUUUAUGGGAAGGCCCUAAUGUAAUGCUAUUGCCGUGUCUCUCGCCGGUGCCUCCAACGAGGGAAGGUUAUGGGCGUGCGCUACCCUGAUCAGGUAGGCGGACAUAAGCCUUGUGUGCCCGUAGUUGGAUUUUGCGCGCUUUUGUCCCCGAUUGGGACCGUUUUUGUUUGCCACGACGGUGGCCGUUGGUGCCUUUGGUAGGCGCGGGGCCACCCAGGAAUGAACCCAAAGGGGGUGUUGGUCAGAGUGGUCGGGAGAGUGUCAUGGCAGUAGAUCGGUUUUGUCGGAACGCCGUUGGUCCACCCGAAUGGGAGUGCGAGGCCGUGGGGUUCCGUGGUGUGGGUACAGUGCGCUACCUCUGCAGAGUGUGUGUUUAAGCUAUCGAUAGCCGCGUCCGUACUAGGUCACACCGUUUGAUCAACACUCUCGUGACGGAAUGACUUAUAGUUGAUUUAUAUGAUGUAUGUGAACAGUAAUAGUUUGGCAGGAUGUUGAUGAUGAUGUUGAGAUGAUCUUGAGGAUGAUCAUUCAGUUUGUGAUGUGGUCACGAGGUGACCGUGUGGAUAUGUUGAUCACGAGGUGGUCGAGAUGGUAUAUUGCUUGGCCGGUUAGCCAAGAAUGAGAUUGUUGUUGGGAAUGAGAUGUUGGUUUAUCAGUAUUGUAGUAGUUUCAUAUCAUGCUUCGUAGUUGUUGUCUUAUCAUGGUAGAUGUUAAUUUAAUUAACCUGCUUAAUGCUAUGUUGUUGUCUUGCCUUGAUGCUUUUGGUUGUUGUGAGCUUGCAAGUACAUUCAAUGUACUGACCUGGCGUGUCAUGUCAGAUUGCAUGUGAUGCCGUGAUUGCUUGAUUGCUUGUCGUGGUUUCCGUUCGUGCGAGCUAGAUCGUGUCCCAGCCAGAGUCCCUGCGGAGUGGAGUUCACCACCUUCGUCGUUGUUCCGCUGCUAGAAGAUUUUCGCUGCUUCGAGUUGUUCUGCUGCUAGCAUAGAGCAAGUAUAGUAUCGCAGGCGUAGUGUCGUCGUGCUGAUGUGGACCUUUGU
rnacentral:lncRNA from 1 species